UUACACAUGCAGUCGAGGGGUAUCCUAGCAAUAGGAGAGACCGGCGCACGGGUGCCUAACGCGUAUGCAAUCUACCUUUCACAAAGGGAUAGCCCAGAGAAAUUUGGAUUAAUACCUUAUAGUAUAGCGAGUUCGCAUGGAUUUGCUAUUAAAGAUUUAUCGGUGAAAGAUGAGCAUGCGUCCCAUUAGCUAGUUGGUAAGGUAACGGCUUACCAAGGCUACGAUGGGUAGGGGUCCUGAGAGGGAGAUCCCCCACACUGGUACUGAGACACGGACCAGACUCCUACGGGAGGCAGCAGUGAGGAAUAUUGGUCAAUGGGCGCAAGCCUGAACCAGCCAUGCCGCGUGCAGGAUGACGGUCCUAUGGAUUGUAAACUGCUUUUGUACAGGAAGAAACACUCGGACGUGUCCGAGCUUGACGGUACUGUAAGAAUAAGGAUCGGCUAACUCCGUGCCAGCAGCCGCGGUAAUACGGAGGAUCCAAGCGUUAUCCGGAAUCAUUGGGUUUAAAGGGUCCGUAGGCGGCUUAAUAAGUCAGUGGUGAAAUCCCUACGCUUAACGUAGGAACGGCCAUUGAUACUGUUAGGCUUGAAUUAUUAGGAAGUAACUAGAAUAUGUAGUGUAGCGGUGAAAUGCUUAGAGAUUACAUGGAAUACCAAUUGCGAAGGCAGGUUACUACUAAUUGAUUGACGCUGAUGGACGAAAGCGUGGGUAGCGAACAGGAUUAGAUACCCUGGUAGUCCACGCCGUAAACGAUGGAUACUAGCUGUUGGGAGCAAUCUCAGUGGCUAAGCGAAAGUGAUAAGUAUCCCACCUGGGGAGUACGUUCGCAAGAAUGAAACUCAAAGGAAUUGACGGGGGCCCGCACAAGCGGUGGAGCAUGUGGUUUAAUUCGAUGAUACGCGAGGAACCUU
rnacentral:rRNA from 1 species